GACGAACGCUGGCGGCGUGCCUAAUACAUGCAAGUCGAACGCACUCUCGUUUAGAUUGAAGGAGCUUGCUCCUGAUUGAUAAACAUUUGAGUGAGUGGCGGACGGGUGAGUAACACGUGGGUAACCUGCCCUAAAGUGGGGGAUAACAUUUGGAAACAGAUGCUAAUACCGCAUAAAACCUAACACCGCAUGGUGUAGGGUUGAAAGAUGGUUUCGGCUAUCACUUUAGGAUGGACCCGCGGUGCAUUAGUUAGUUGGUGAGGUAAAGGCUCACCAAGACCGUGAUGCAUAGCCGACCUGAGAGGGUAAUCGGCCACACUGGGACUGAGACACGGCCCAGACUCCUACGGGAGGCAGCAGUAGGGAAUCUUCCACAAUGGACGAAAGUCUGAUGGAGCAACGCCGCGUGAGUGAAGAAGGUUUUCGGAUCGUAAAACUCUAGUUGUUUGGGAGUAAGAAUGUAUCUGAUAGUAACUGAUCAGGUAGUGACGGUAUCCAACCAG
rnacentral:rRNA from 1 species